UACGUAGGGGGCGAGCGUUGUCCGGAGUUACUGGGCGUAAAGGGCGCGCAGGCGGUCUGGGAAGUUUGGAGUGACAGUGCUCGGCUUAACUGAGCAAGGCCUUCGAAAACUCUCAGACUUGAGCACCCAAGAGGGACAUAGAAUUCCGGGUGGAGUGGUGAAAUGCGUAGAUAUCCGGAGGAAUACCAAAGGCGAAGGCAGUGUCCUGGGGAGUGUCUGACGCUCAGGCGCGAAAAGCUAGGGGGAGCGAACAGGG
rnacentral:rRNA from 1 species